GGAGGUAUAGCUCAGUGGUAGAGCGUGUGCUUAGCAUGCACGAGGUCCUGGCUUCAAUCCUCAGUGCCUCCA
rnacentral:tRNA from 1 species